CUAGUUUCUGUUUCACUUAGUUCUUUUUCUGGUGUUUUGUAGUGUUCCCUUGCUUAGAAAGUAUUCCUUUGCCUCCUCAUUAUGCCUCUUUCUCUGUGCUAUUUUCUUUGUACUAGGUGAGUUGGCUAUGUCUCCUGAUCUUGGAGAAGUGGCCUUAUGUAUGAGAUGCCUUAUGAGGCCUGAGAUUCUUAAUCUUAUCAAGAAGAAGAAAAUAAACUAUGAGUUUAACAGCUGACUGAGAGAUGUGGGCAAACAUUGGGUCUUUCCUUAACAACCCUUCCUAGUUAUAGAAUUAUUUUAAGAAAUCAUCCUUUAGGGUGGAUGAACGAGUGCUAAGAAAAUAUAUCUCUACCUGGUUGCCACAGGUAAUGAUCUGUGGAAUUUCUCCAAAUCCCAGGCAGAAGUCAGAAGAGUGACCAAGAGUGAAGGUUCCAGAGAAGAUGAAUGUCAGGUUAUAGAUAUGAUAGAGUCCAUCUAUGGAGACAAGACUGAAUAAAAAUGCACAGUCUUUCUGAGAGGCCU
rnacentral:lncRNA from 1 species